rnacentral:misc_RNA from 1 species
UGGUUCUGGCAUCGAUGAAGAACGCAGCGAAAUGCGAUAAGUAAUGUGAAUUGCAGAAUUCAGUGAAUCAUCGAAUCUUUGAACGCACAUUGCGCCCCUUGGUAUUCCGGGGGGCAUGCCUGUUCGAGCGUCAUUUCAACCCUCAAGCCUAGCUUGGUCUUGGGCCCUGCCGGCGACGGCUGGCCUUAAAAUCAGUGGCGGUGCCAUCAGGCUCUACGCGUAGUAACUAAACCCUCGCGUGUGAGUCCUGGCGGAUGCUUGCCAACCAACCCCCAUUUCUAUGGUUGACCUCGGAUCAGGUAGGGAUACCCGCUGA